ACUCGCAUGGGGACUGGCCUUUCCUGAGGCCACCAGAGCGGGUCCCUGAGGUCCCCGUCGUAAGUCGAGAGCACCUACCGCAACUCGAGAAAAUCCAGGAGGUUUUGCCCUCCAGGCGAAAUGAGGCCCAUUUCCGCUGAGGCUUCUCGAGGCUAAUUACACCUAACCUCUGGAAAUUAAAAAAGGUCCUUCACACCCUUGCUGCAACUCAAGAAGUUCCCUGACAUACCAGUCUCCACUCUAGAGGAAACACGAGGGUCCCGCCCAC
ensembl:lncRNA